GAUUAGAGUUUGAUCCUGGCUCAGAUUGAACGCUGGCGGCAUGCUUUACACAUGCAAGUCGAACGGUAACAGGGAGCUUGCUCCGCUGACGAGUGGCGAACGGGUGAGUAAUGCAUCGGAACGUACCCAAUCGUGGGGGAUAACGUAGCGAAAGUUACGCUAAUACCGCAUACGUCCUGAGGGAGAAAGCGGGGGACCGAAAGGCCUCGCGCGAUUGGAGCGGCCGAUGUCGGAUUAGCUAGUUGGUAGGGUAAAGGCCUACUAAGGCGACGAUCCGUAGCGGGUCUGAGAGGAUGAUCCGCCACACUGGGACUGAGACACGGCCCAGACUCCUACGGGAGGCAGCAGUGGGGAAUUUUGGACAAUGGGCGCAAGCCUGAUCCAGCCAUGCCGCGUGAGUGAAGAAGGCCUUCGGGUUGUAAAGCUCUUUCAGGUGGAAAGAAAACGCAUGGGUCAAUACCCUGUGUGGAUG
rnacentral:rRNA from 1 species